UAUAACGGCAAUGGCGCCCACCUGAGAGGUGCCGGAACUGAUUUGGCUGAAAAAAAGCCCUGGGUGUUACCCCUCAUCAGAGUGAUGCCAGCUGAUUGGCAGGUGGGUGUGGUUUUUUAAAAGUAGUCUCACAGACCAAAGUUUAACUCCUGGAGGUCCAAUACAGUGGUACCUCAGGUUACAUACGCUUCAGGUUACAGACUCCACUAACCCAGAAAUAGUGCUUCAGGUUAAGAACUUUGCUUCAGGAUGAGAACAGAAAUCGGGCUCCGGCUGCGCGGCAGCAACAGGAGGCCCCAUUAGCUAAAGUGGUGCUUCAGGUUAAGAACAGUUUCAGGUUAAGUACGGACCUCUGGAACGAAUUAAGUUCUUAACCUGAGGUACCACUGUACUGCCCCGCAAAUUGGAGAUUCCUCACCACAGACUAGACCUUAUUGUGCCUAUGUGGAUUGAGAACAUACCCUAUAUCCACCCCCGAUGUGCAGGACAGGGAAAGAUCAGAAGGGGUGAACUAAUGACAUUGCUUUUCUGCUGCAGCUGCUUCUGAGAUUCUUUAAGAUGACAGUGCCAAAGAUUGAAGUUGAAACCUCUCUGUUUGAUGGCAUAGCAUGGGCCCAAGCUACUCGGCUAUGACCAAAGGUGCCAUCCCUCUUUCCAGGAAGUUAUGUUCAUCACAGCAUAUUUUUUUGUCAAAGUAUCAUGGGGUUCCUUGGAAGAGUUGUAAAGACACUGCUGUAGAAGGUAGAUAAUAAGCGAGUGCCAUCCCUUUGAAUUCAAGAACUGGAAUUAUAGUUCAGGGAAAAUAUUAGCUGUUUUGCGAAUUCUGUGGAGUUGUCUCCUUGUAAGAAUAGUUCCAACUGCCAAAAAAAGAGUCCUCAAUCAGGAUCCUUGACUGGAAUAAACGGACCAAUGGAUAUUAACUGAGGUCAUCUCAUUUACACCUGCUUAGGGAUUAGUCCCUUUACUUCAUAUGCGAAAAUAAACACCCUGCCAGCAGACCUCGGGUGUCAAAGUAUUCUAACGUUUGCCAGACACGACUGUGUUAUGCUAUGUAAUUUAUUGUAAUGAUGGGUCAAAUCAUCCCCCCCUAAAUUAUUGUGUAAAUCAUAUUGAUUAUGUGUAAUUGCAAAAUUGAAUGUGAAUAGUGUAAAUUACAGGAUUGUUUUUCCAGCUGCAACAACAUUUCCUAUACGUAGGGAUAGCUGGAAGAAGGUAUUUGGGGUGUAGAUUUACUACAUGCCAGAAAUCUUUUAGUAUGGUACAUUAAUGUUUGUUGACUACUGCCUUCCAAUGGAAAAGAGAGAGCUGUAUUUCUUUUAUUAGUGUUUUAAAGAAAAAUAAAUACAAAAUGUUUUCUAACCUUUCA